rnacentral:lncRNA from 1 species
GCUAUGUAGAAUGAACAGUUGAGAUCUUCUCUCCGUGGACUGGCCUUCUUUUGCGUACAGAGCUUUUAGACCCUGUGUACAGGACAAGAUGCCUUCAGUGCACAUCUCAGCGCAUCUUUCCAAAAAAAUAUUUGUUUAACAGACAAUAAAUGAAUUCUUUGUUUGACCUCACUUUGAUCAGAACGCUCUUCCUGAGAACAUCGCGCCCGCUCAGCCCCAACUUAGGAUAGAGCAGUAUAACAGCAGCAGUUCCACCAGGGUUCUCCGCCUCUUGCUCUAGACAGAGAGGGAGAGAUAGAGAGAGAGAGAGAGAGAGAGAGAGAGAGAGAGAGAAAUCAAAUGGG